GGCUUCUGGCUGGAGAUCCCUGUGUAUCUGAGGUCAUUUGAAGGUUAAUAAAGAUGAAGUCGCAUCCUCUUCAGGAUCUUAAGGUAUAAAUUACUGGGGUGAGCAGCUCUACAAAGCAACAGGAAAUUGGAAGAUAGAACCAAACCAACACAUUUCUAUCUUUUUUUUUUCUUUUAAUAUGCUCAGAUGUUUGAUCUCAGAAAUUCUCUGGAAAUACAGGAGUCUUGGAAAACUCAUUAAAAUGUCCUUGGUCUUUCCUGCUUUGUUACCAGGAAACACUGGUUUUAUACCCUUUUUUGAUAUUAAAGGUGCUCAGAAUAACAUUUCAUGGCUUGGGAAGAAACUAUUGUGGGGAUCCUCUGGACUGAGUCUCUGUGUGGUGGUGGUGACAAGGAAUGGAUCUUGGUGUUCGAGGCAUCUGUUUUGUUUUUUUUCUUUCAAUCUAAGAUGGACAUACAAACUCUUUGACCAUUACUUAAAGGCUUUACCUUUCUUUUCAAAGUUUUUCAUCAGCUUGCACUUAAGGGUGCUAGAUUCACACAUGUGGAAAAUGAAAGAGGAAGAAAGUUGUCCCAGCGAGUUUCCCCAUUCCAUACCCCUAUUAGUCUUGGAUGUCUCUUGAGGUCAUGGAACUGAAGCUAUUGAGGACUUGUUUCACCCACCCACAACACAGAAAGUCCAGUACAUAAGGAUUACAUUGCUUUCUUAAAACUAUAUAGCAGUUAAAGAAUUGUUCUUACUGAAGCAAGAGUUUUGAUGUUCAUGAAGGCAGACAACGUGGAGUAAAUGGUACCAGACACUGAAGAAGCUAUGGCAUUUUGCAUCACUGUGUUCCAAACACAUCCACAGUAAUUCUGAUACUGGCUUUAUCCCUGCAAAUGCUGUUUAUGGAGAAAGAGCAUUAGGCUGAAGAGAACGCACGGGAUUCCUAAGAUGUGGUAUGGAGGGGGUGACACCUCUAACAGAAUGGCUGUGAGGAAUUCAGGUGGCUGCAAGCUGCUGGUGAGCCAGGCUCCACUACAGCCUCCUGUGACUUCUGGGUGAAUUUAAGAGGCUCUCCAGGUCACCUAUCAGCUUACUGUUGCAAAGUGGAGCGAUCUUGCUGUUUCUCCACAUUUGCAUCUUUUUCCCAAUGGUGUGUUCUUUGUGCUGGACUGUGGUGCUUGUUGGCCUCUGCUCAAAAUCAAGGCUGAAGAGGAGCAAUAUUUCCAGCACAAAGGACCUAUAAGAGCAUCUGGAGCAAAGCACUGUCUCUUGUGUUCUGUCCCUGUGCCCUGGGAAGCCUUGUUAUGUUUUCUGAUCAGGGCUCUGGGUGUUUUUUUUGUUUUGUUUUUUUAGGAAUCUCUUCACUAGUUUUAAGAUGAAUUAUGACUGUUGGUCUCAUAAAUGAGCCCAUCUGUGAUAUGGGUCUUUAAGAGGGAUUUAUUCAGCAGAACGUAGACUGAAACUACUCAGACUUCCUAAAGUUACGAUUGAAAUUACCGGCUUUCGGUUGCUGGAAAUUAAGGUUAGAAUUAAUUCAUAGCUAAAAGAAUCACUGUCAACUUGUGCAAAUUCUUCAUGACUUUUUCCCACUUUAAGUCAUUUUUCUUAACAGUGACCACAACAGAUCUUGUACUUAAAUACACAUUCUACUACAUGCUUUGUGUUACUUCACUCAGGUGAAGUAUAUCAAUUUCUCAACAUCAAAUGCCACAGUAAUAAAACAAUGAAAGGAAAGAUCACAUCAGGUAACACUUGCACUGAAAAACUGCAGUGCUCUUGAUGGAUUGAUCUUUAUCAGUCUGUUUGCCUUGUGGAUAUCUGGAUGGCGUGCUCUGUUUUAAAUGUGGAUUACAGCACUACAUUUCAAAAGUUGUUCAUACUGUCACUUGCUUUUGUGUUCCUUAACACAUCUCAAAAUCAUAUCAACUUGUAUUUUUUCUACUAAAAAUAUCUGCCACGUGUUUCUUGUAUAAUUUUCUUUACCUUUUCCAUUUUUCCUUUCCUUUUUCUCUUCCCUUCUACUCCUCAUCUUCCAAAAGUGCGUCUCCAACAGUGAAAUAAAAUCAAAUUGUGUUUUUACAGUGUGAUGGUUGCUUUAGUUCCAGGAAAGUAACAUUUAUUCACAAUAGAUUCUUUCUUACACUUAAUUAGCCUAACAGGCAACACUGGAAAAGGCUGUGUGAUGUAGAGACCAGCACAACUUUUAGUGUAGGUUACUGUAUGUCCUUUGCUGGGUUAUCUACAGCAUUGGUUCUCUAAUUCUAAAGCUAGCUAAGUUUUCAGCUGAAACAAUUCAUUUCCCAUAAUUAGAUCUUAUUGUAAAACCAGAGGCAAGAUUUGGUUUUGAUAUCAUCUUAUGUAACUGCAUAAUUGCAUCGGUCAUAUGGGCUUUGUUGGCACAUCAGAAGUGAGACUUUUAGUCAUAUUGGAAAAUACAUUAGUUGCUCAACUUGAAUUUGUCACACAUCUGAAACCAGAUUCUGGUGCUCUGGUAUCAGAGUGGCCUCAAAUUUGAGUGAGAUCUGGAUUUAGUGAAAACAUCCACAAAGGCAAUUCAGACUGCAAUUUGCCUUCAGGUUUUUGAAAAUCAUUGAGUUGUGUGAAUUUGAAAUCUGCUUUAAAUGCUAUAGAUGACGUCUUGAUUAAGGAAGACACAGAACCGAAACUUAGGACUAAACAUGGGGAAAGAUGAGAAUUGAAUAUAAAAUGCAAAAGUGAGUGAUGUUAAGUUUAGCCAGGAUACUUGAUUU